GACAGAGGGUGCAAACGUUGUUCGGAAUUACUGGGCGUAAAGCGCGUGUAGGCUGCUCCGCAAGUCGGAUGUGAAAGCCCUGGGCUCAACCUAGGAAGUGCACUCGAAACUGCAGAGCUGGAGUCCUGGAGAGGAAGGCGGAAUUCUCGGUGUAGAGGUGAAAUUCGUAGAUAUCGAGAGGAACACCGGUGGCGAAGGCGGCCUUCUGGACAGUGACUGACGCUGAGACGCGAAAGCGUGGGGAGCAAACAGG
rnacentral:rRNA from 1 species